rnacentral:lncRNA from 1 species
CAUUAAUGCUGCCAUUACCAGAAUGUUGCUGGCAUUGCUCCUGUGUUAGAAGAUAAUUACUGGACUCAUUCCUGACAUGUAACACUUCUUUUUUCCAGGGAGGUGGGUGGAUGGGCACACAGAACUCAUUGCUGAACUACUGAAGUUGGCAAAAUUAUUGAAGGAGCUAAAUUGUGUAAAGAGAACCUAUAUAUACUUAUCAGAAUAUGCAAUGCAGAUGUAACCCAGGGAAUUGCUUCCAAGCUCUAGGAAAUCCUUCAGACUGCCCUGGAAAGGAGCGCUGAAUGUGUCUGUAGUUUCAGUGUUUGGCCAGUGCACAGUCCUGAGGGCCUUUACUAUGGCUACAAGACCAGAUAUUCAUCCCCAAGGCACACAAUGCUCCUAGAACAUAAAAAAUCUGUAGAAGCUAGCUGAGAAUUCUGCAAGCAUGUCUGAAUGCCAAAUCAACUGAGGUAAGUUGGAGUUUAUGUCCCUGAACAUCUUGUACGAUC